rnacentral:rRNA from 1 species
GAUGAACGCUGGCGGCGUGCCUAAUACAUGCAAGUCGAGCGAACAGACGAGGAGCUUGCUCCUCUGACGUUAGCGGCGGACGGGUGAGUAACACGUGGAUAACCUACCUAUAAGACUGGGAUAACUUCGGGAAACCGGAGCUAAUACCGGAUAAUAUAUUGAACCGCAUGGUUCAAUAGUGAAAGACGGUUUUGCUGUCACUUACAGAUGGAUCCGCGCCGCAUUAGCUAGUUGGUAAGGUAACGGCUUACCAAGGCAACGAUGCGUAGCCGACCUGAGAGGGUGAUCGGCCACACUGGAACUGAGACACGGUCCAGACUCCUACGGGAGGCAGCAGUAGGGAAUCUUCCGCAAUGGGCGAAAGCCUGACGGAGCAACGCCGCGUGAGCGAUGAAGGUCUUCGGAUCGUAAAACUCUGUUAUUAGGGAAGAACAAAUGUGUAAGUAACUAUGCACGUCUUGACGGUACCUAAUCAGAAAGCCACGGCUAACUACGUG